UAGCACACUACACGUCAAGAGUGCAAGGCGGCUGCUUGUAUUAAACCUGGAACGCAGCUGAUAUUUUUGUUUUUUUUAUGUUUAAAGGAAAGACAAUGGUAACCAUGGAUGAGCUUUGCGAGAUGGAUGGUAACGUUUUGAAAAGGUUGGUGAGGGAUGACAGCGGUAAAUGCUUGGUGCUGGAUUGCAGAUCAUUUCUGGCUCACAGCGCGGGUCACAUAAGAGGAUCGGUGAAUAUUCGCUGCAACACUAUUGUGAGGAGAAGGGCUAAGGGCUCCGUAAGCCUGGACCAGAUUCUUUCAGGGGACGAGGAGGUCCGAUCCAGACUGAAAUCAGGACUUUACUCCGCUGUUAUUCUGUAUGAUGAAAGAACUUCGCAUAUUGACUCCAUAAAAGAAGACAGCACAAUUACACUAGUGCUCAACGCACUGUAUAGGGAUUCCUAUGGGACUGAAAUCUAUCUCCUGAAAGGUGGUUAUGACAAGUUUUCAUCCGAUUAUCCGGAAUUCUGCUUGAAAACGAAAAUACCAUCAGGAAUCUCUUCUCUAUCAAGCACAGAUGUAACAGAAACCAAUUGUACUUCCUGCGGCACCCCGCAUCAUGACCAGGGUGGUCCAGUAGAAAUCUUGCCCUUCCUCUAUUUGGGCAGUGCCUAUCAUGCUUCCAGAAAAGACAUGCUGGAUGCCUUGGGGAUAACGGCCUUAUUAAACGUGUCUUCGAGCUGUCCAAAUCACUUUGAAGGGUAUUACCAGUAUAAGUGCAUACCAGUGGAGGACAACCACAAGGCUGACAUUAGCUCCUGGUUUAUAGAGGCAAUCGAAUAUAUAGAUUCGAUAAAAGGCUUUAAUGGAAGGGUGCUAGUCCACUGCCAGGCUGGCAUAUCACGUUCUGCCACCAUCUGCCUCGCGUACCUGAUGAAAAAGAAGCUGCUGAAGCUGGAGGAGGCCUUCGAGUUUGUCAAGCAGCGGAGGAGCAUCAUCUCCCCCAACUUCAGCUUCAUGGGGCAACUCCUGCAGUUUGAGUCGCAGGUCCUGGCCACAUCUUGUGCAGUGGAGGCUGCCAGCCCAUCUGCAGCGUGCAGCAAGUCCACUCCCACCUCUCAGUUUGUCUUCAGCUUCCCUGUCUCCAUGGCAGUCCACACGCAGCCCAGCAGCCUCACUUACCUACAGAGUCCCAUCACCACAUCUCCCAGCUGCUGAGGGGCUCGGAUCCGAGAAAGGGACACACAAAUACAAACUGAGCCUCCAAAGAUUUUGAACGCUGGGCCUUAGGACUGCAGAAGGUUCAAAGUGUGAGACUUGCUCACUGACUGUGAUGGAGUUUAAAUGCAAGUCUUUAGUGAAGAGCCCUUCUGCAAGACGGCAGGCAUGUGUUUGAAAGGGCAUCCUUGUCAGCAUGAGAAUAUGUAGAACCAGAGUCAAGCCAUUUUCAAUAGGGAUAUAAAGUGCAGCAAUAAUAGUGGUUUCUACUGGCAAGAUGCUCCUCUGCGCAAGAAGGCGUUUGAAACUUUCAACACUGCAAUACUGACUCUUAUGAAGUGCUGUAAAUCUAAUUUUCUUUCAGUACGUUGCUUUAGGCUCAAAACCUCCCCAUCCCACACGAGAGAGCAAGAACAUUUUUGUGUUUUCAGUCACAUCAACAAUACUGGACUCCUGUUUAUUUUUUUAUUUUAUUUUUUUUUUUUUUACCUCAGUUUUACCUCAGUUUGAGACUUGAAGACUUUUGUAUUUAGCCUUACCAUAGUUUCAAUACAGGCUGAUCAAGCUCUUUCCUGGCAUGCUUACAACUGUAAAGCCAACACCAGAACAUUUAUUCCAUAUUCACUAUUUACACAACAGGGAGAGGCUUCUGUCUUCUUUGUAUGGAGCACAACCCCAAAACCUGAAGGCACGGUAUCCAUAAAUCAGAUGCCUCUUUAAAAAGCUACACAAUGAUGCACAGAGGAUAAUAAGCAUGCCAUGUUUAAUAGGAGUGGCUGUACAUAACCCUCUUAAAAUGAAAAAUAUUUCUGAAGGUACAACGAGUUACAGGCAUGCUGACAGAUCCCCAUUACUUCCAUAGAUAAGUACAGUCAUUUCACCAGAUGUGUAGGUUUAUGGAGUUACACCAUUUGGCUGUUAAUCUUGUUAAACGUCUUCGAUUUGCAAUACAAAUUGGACAAAGGUGUUUAUUGAAAUAGUAAAUGUAAAUUGGGCUUUGGGAUAUUUAAAUGACAGAAGUAUAAAACUGCUAAAAAAGCAAUGGUAGACAGGUAUAUCUGCUGUAUAUCAGUGAGCUAGAAUUGGAGCCACUAAUCCAAAUUACUUACUACUGUAUGUUGACUUGAAGUAAUAAGAUUCAGAAACUGAUUUUUUUUUUUUGCCAAAAACUCCAAACUCUGCCAGUGUCCGGCCUUGCUGCCUGUGUCAGGAAAGGUUUCCCAAUCCCACUUGUUAAACAUGUAGAAGGGUAUUUGUUGAGAAUGGUGGCACCUUUUGUCGAGCACUUUUUAAGUGAUGCAAUACCUUAGUACAACUUAAGGAUAUUCUUAUGUUUAAUUUGCACAGUUAUUUGUUGUUUUUAUUUAUGAACAGAUGGUAGCUGAUAACCUUUUUUUUCAGUUCAUGUGUGUAAAAAUGAAAAGGUACUGAUAUAAGAUGUUAACAAUGCAAUACUUUUUACCUGUGUGUCAUCCAAGUUAUUGUCCAACUUCCUAAGGCAAUACCAUUUGUAAUGAUAGAAUUUCGGACAUUCUUUUGCCCUUGUUUUGUCACAAGGUCUACUGUUUUUAUUUAUUUCUUGAAAUGCCAUUUCAAUAUAAAUUCAUUU